GAAAUAUAAGCAUUGCACUGUAUUCAAUGGCAAGCUAUCCUGGAUUCCAGAGCCUUCAGUUAAUAAUAAAUUGAAAUAUCGUGAAGGCUCUGGUUCAACGGGAGGUUUCUUUGAUUAAACUGUGCCAAUCACAAAACAGAAUUAGCAGUUUUAGUACAGAUUUUGGGCGUGUUAACCCAUUAAGCGCCAGCGCUUUCCCCUUGACGAGUAAAAUCGUCUGGCGUUAGACAGAGUAAAAUACUCUGGCGUUAGACAGAGUAAAAU